rnacentral:rRNA from 1 species
AUUGAACGCUGGCGGCAGGCCUAACACAUGCAAGUCGAGCGGAAACGAGUUAUCUAAACCUUUCGGGGAACGAUAACGGCGUCGAGCGGCGGACGGGUGAGUAAUGCCUAGGAAAUUGCCCUGAUGUGGGGGAUAACCAUUGGAAACGAUGGCUAAUACCGCAUGAUGCCUACGGGCCAAAGAGGGGGACCUUCGGGCCUCUCGCGUCAGGAUAUGCCUAGGUGGGAUUAGCUAGUUGGUGAGGUAAGGGCUCACCAAGGCAACGAUCCCUAGCUGGUCUGAGAGGAUGAUCAGCCACACUGGAACUGAGACACGGUCCAGACUCCUACGGGAGGCAGCAGUGGGGAAUAUUGCACAAUGGGCGCAAGCCUGAUGCAGCCAUGCCGCGUGUGUGAAGAAGGCCUUCGGGUUGUAAAGCACUUUCAGUCGUGAGGAAGGUAGUGUGUUUAAUAGAUGCAUUAUUUGACGUUAGCGACAGAAGAAGCACCGGCUAACUCCGUGCCAGCAGCCGCGGUAAUACGGAGGGUGCGAGCGUUAAUCGGAAUUACUGGGCGUAAAGCGCAUGCAGGUGGUUUGUUAAGUCAGAUGUGAAAGCCCGGGGCUCAACCUCGGAAUAGCAUUUGAAACUGGCAGACUAGAGUACUGUAGAGGGGGGUAGAAUUUCAGGUGUAGCGGUGAAAUGCGUAGAGAUCUGAAGGAAUACCGGUGGCGAAGGCGGCCCCCUGGACAGAUACUGACACUCAGAUGCGAAAGCGUGGGGAGCAAACAGG